rnacentral:lncRNA from 1 species
CUCGGGAUCAAGGGCGUGAGCCACACCCAGCUCAAGGCCGGUUCCCGGCAGGGAGCGCAGGUCGGUGGCCGAGGCCCGGUCCCGCGGUGACGCAGCCGCGCCAGGCCGGCGAGCCCUGCUGACUUCACAGAGGGCCGCGCCGGCCUCCCAGCCUCGGCCGGGCCCGCCAGGCCCCGCGGCUCGCGACAGACGCCCUGCCCGCCGUACAGUGGGCGCUCGGGGCCUCCCGGCGGGACUCCGGCUGCAGGGGCUACAACGCGGGCGUCCAUUGGCUCCGCUCUGCCCAAUUGACAGGGGCUCCCAAGGGCUCUUGGGAUUGGCUGAAGCUCCGGUCUCGGUGGCCAAUCGGCGGGUCCCGCAUUUGACCAAGGAGUGUCUGGUGGCGCUGAGAUGCGGGAGAGAAUGCGCUGACCUGAAGGCGGCCCUGCGGCAGGAGUUCCGCAACCUGGAAGAGAUCCUUGGCUAUCAGAACACCACCUUCUUCGGCGGAGACCACAUAACCAUGAUCGAUGACCUCUUCUGGCCCUGGUUCGAGCGGCUGGAUGUGUACGGGAUCGCAGAGCCCUCCUGGCUGCUGGCUCCUCCGUGUUGUGCCGAGUAA